UGCCAGGCCAGGCUGCGCUGCAGAUCUGCAGAGUGCAGUGCAGGGAUUUGAAAAAGUGAUAUCUUUGCAAAUUUGACUCCUGGGACAUUUUCCACUCUCUCGGAACUCGCAGACGAUUGCUCCAUCUAGUCUUCAGAUCACUAUGUGUAUCCUUCAUUAGUUCAGCUGCCCCAAUCUCCCAUUUAUCGGAAGUUGAUUUCUUCUGACAUUGCGGAAUGACAAGAGCGCAUUGUCUCGGCUGCGGUCGCUGCUGCAAGUCAUCCCGUGGUUUCGACCUGCAUAGCUGUGCUAAUUUCCUGUCCAGGAAGUAGAACGGCGUUUCUGGAUCCAAUGCUGAACUCAGUGCUGUCGACCCCUGCACAGGGGACACGUGACCAUUUGAUGGCAGUGUUACCAAGGACCAAGCAGCAGUUUGCACCCUUCCUUGUACUCAACACAGCAGCGGUUUGCACCCUUCCUGACCGAGGCCAUCGUGAACAUCUGGAGCUCCUGUCGCGAGCACGCCGAGUCUGACAUGAUGGUCUGGAAUGAUGUUCUGUGUUGUAAAAGUGGUGACCAUGGUGACACAAUGGAUUAACUCUCACACCAACCAGAUGACCUAGUGGACUUGAUCAUGUUGGCGCAGCAGUCUAGCGUGUCACAGGCAAGCACCAGCAUUCUCUGCUCCGCUACUGCAAGUGUUGAAAUGCAUGACCUCUUUGAAACAAGCACAACACAUCGAUUUUGUUCCGUUGCGCAGACGAAGGAGUGAUUAUCCAUACAAAUGCGGAAAGAUACGUAAGGUUGCUGAUAUGAUCAUCUCCUGCUGCUGCUCAUCUCUCCUUCAAGGGCUGUCAACACUGAUAUGAUCAUCUCCUGCUGCUCAUCUCUCCUUCAAGGGCUGUCAACACUGGUAUGAUCAUCUCCUGCUGCUCAUCUCUCCUUCAAGGGCUGUCAACACUGAUAUGAUCAUCUCCUGCUGCUCAUCUCUCCUUCAAGGGCUGUCAACACUGGUAUGAUCAUCUCCUGCUGUUGCUCAUCUCUCCUUCAAGGGCUGUCAACACUGAUAUGAUCAUCUCCUGCUGCUCAUCUCUCCUUCAAGGGCUGUCAACACUGGUAUGAUCAUCUCCUGCUGCUCAUCUCUCCUUCAAGGGCUGUCAACACUGGUAUGAUCAUCUCCUGCUGCUCAUCUCUCCUUCAAGGGCUGUCAACACUGAUAGCACUGCCACCACUGCUACCCCGCUCGCCCCUACUUCUGUACUAGCAGUAGCAGCGCUAGUCAUUAAGACUUCAUCACCAUGAUCUAAUCUGCACCAGCAGCCUCCUCUUGAUAGCUUACUCAACAACAUGCUGCACCAGCAGCCUCCUCUUGAUAGCUUACUCAACAACAUGCUGCUCACAUCCGGCGGUGACGAGCAGUUUAUUAUUAUUUAUUAAUAUUAUUAUUUGUGUCUGGACUGGACCAGGUCGCCGCAUUCUGGCUGUAGCGAAUUGGUGGAUUGGCUGUGAAUGUCUGCCCAGUUCCUUGACAGCACUGGUCUGGCCACCGUUGUUCCGGCUAUGUCUGCAUUUCUGAAGACGGUGAAUGCUCUGGCCUGCUCUGAUCUCUUUUUGGAUGGUCUUGGCUAGUCUUGGCUGGUCUUGGCUGGUCUUGGCUGAUCUUGGCUGUUUUCAAAACUAUUAUUAUUGCUAUUGCAUGUGAUCAACCUAUUUCUUGAUUCAAUGGGCACUUGUUUCUAGCAUGUCUUGACUUCAA